rnacentral:rRNA from 1 species
GACGAACGCUGGCGGCGUGCUUAACACAUGCAAGUCGAACGGAAAGGCCCUGCUUUUGUGGGGUGCUCGAGUGGCGAACGGGUGAGUAACACGUGAGUAACCUGCCCUUGACUUUGGGAUAACUUCAGGAAACUGGGGCUAAUACCGGAUAGGAGCUCCUGCUGCAUGGUGGGGGUUGGAAAGUUUCGGCGGUUGGGGGUGGACUCGCGGCUUAUCAGCUUGUUGGGGGGGUAGUGGCUUACCAAGGCUUUGACGGGUAGCCGGCCUGAGAGGGUGACCGGGGACAUUGGGACUGAGAUACGGCCCAGACGCCUACGGGAGGCAGCAGUGGGGAAUAUUGCACAAUGGGCGGAAGCGUGAUGCGGCAACGCCGCGUGCGGAAUGACGGCCUUCGGGUGGUAAACCGCUUUCGCCGGUGACGAAGCGGGAGUGACGGUAAUGGAUAAGGAAGCCCCGGCUAACUACGUG